UGGAUUAAUGAUGACUACCGGUGGCAUAUGAGACAUGCAUGAUGAAUAUGGGUCUCCAACUCUGAGGUCGAA